CUAAGAGGAAAAAGGGAGGCAAAUUUCGACUCUCAGUAUGGUCCCCCGUCUCCAGGAAUAUACAGCGUCUAGCAAGUUUAUAUUUCACACGUAAAAACGUGAAAAGACGUGAUGGCAGCUUGAAGACCACGCAAUAUGGCUACAAGCCUCUGUCAUAAGUAUAAUUCAGGAAAUAAAAUUAUGGCAAAGCAAACAA